rnacentral:rRNA from 1 species
CCUACGGGAGGCAGCAGUCGAGAAUCAUUCACAAUGGGGGAAACCCUGAUGGUGCGACGCCGCGUGGGGGAAUGAAGGUCUUCGGAUUGUAAACCCCUGUCAUGUGGGAGCAAAUUAAAAAGAUAGUACCACAAGAGGAAGAGACGGCUAACUCUGUGCCAGCAGCCGCGGUAAUACAGAGGUCUCAAGCGUUGUUCGGAAUCACUGGGCGUAAAGCGUGCGUAGGCUGUUUCGUAAGUCGUGUGUGAAAGGCGCGGGCUCAACCCGCGGACGGCACAUGAUACUGCGAGACUAGAGUAAGGGAGGGGGAACCGGAAUUCUCGGUGUAGCAGUGAAAUGCGUAGAUAUCGAGAGGAACACUAGUGGCGAAGGCGGGUUCCUGGACAUUAACUGACGCUGAGGCACGAAGGCCAGGGGAGCGAAAGGGAUUAGAUACCCUAGUAGUC